rnacentral:SRP_RNA from 1 species
GGCCGGGUCCCGCGCAACGACGGGUCGUGAACUCCGUCAGGCCCGGAAGGGAGCAGCGGCAGCGAUCUUGUUCGUGUGCCGCGGGAGUGCCCGGUCGUC